rfam:Oryza punctata chromosome 11, whole genome shotgun sequence.
UUUAAAUGCAGUUUUCGUGUUCGACUUUGAUCGUCCGUGUUAUUUAAUUCUUUUUAUGGUUAGUAUUUUUAUUCUUAUUAAAUAAUAAAACAUAAAUAGUAAUUUAUACGCGACUUAUAUUUUUUAAAAAUUUUAAAACUUUUUUAAACAAAACAAACGAUUAAAAGUUGGACACGGAAACGUAUGGUUAUACUUCGA